CACGUAGUUAGCCGUGGCUUUCUGAUUAGGUACCGUCAAGACGUGCACAGUUACUUACACAUUUAUUCUUCCCUAAUAACAGAGUUUUACGAUCCGAAGACCUUCAUCACCCACGCGGCGUUGCUCCGUCAGGCUUUCGCCCAUUGCGGAAGAUUCCCUACUGCUGCCUCCCGUAGGAGUCUGGACCGUGUCUCAGUUCCAGUGUGGCCGAUCACCCUCUCAGGUCGGCUACGUAUCGUUGCCUUGGUAAGCCAUUACCCCACCAACUAGCUAAUACGGCGCGGGUCCAUCUAUAAGUGAUAGUAAAACCAUCUUUCACUUUAGAACCAUGCGGUUCUAAAUAUUAUCCGGCAUUAGCCCGGUUUCCGGAGUUAUUCCAGUCUAUGGUAAAAAAAAGUUCCACGUGUACUCACCGUCCGCCGCUAACGUCAAAGGAGCAAGCUCCUUAUCUGUUCGCUCGACUUGCAUGUAUAGGUCACGCCGCCAGCGUUCAUCCUGAGCCAGGAUCAACUCU
rnacentral:rRNA from 1 species